rnacentral:tRNA from 1 species
GGUCCCAUAGCUCAGUUGGUUAGAGCGUCGUACUAAUAAUGCGAAGGUCUCAGGUUCGAGCCCUGGUGGGACCA